AAAGGCGCAAUGAAAGUGAAGGUCCGCCUUGCGCGGACCGAGGGAGGAUGGGUGGUCCCGAGGGGCCGCCUCGCACUCCCGGGGCGUCUCGUUCUCAUCGCGAGAAGAGGCGCACCCAGAGCGUACACGCUGGGACCCGAAAGAUGGUGAACUAUGCCUGGUCAGGACGAAGUCAGGGGAAACCCUGAUGGAGGUCCGUAGCGAUUCUGACGUGCAAAUCGAUCGUCGGAACUGGGUAUAGGGGCGAAAGACUAAUCGAACCAUCUAGUAGCUGGUUCCCUCCGAAGUUUCCCUCAGGAUAGCUGGCGCUCGCUUCUGGCGAGUCUCAUUCGGUAAAGCGAAUGAUUAGAGGCAUUGGGGUCGAAACGGCCUCAACCUAUUCUCAAACUUUAAAUGGGUGAGAUCUCCGGCUUGCUUGAACUGUGAAGCCGCGAGAUAUCGGAUCAGAGUGCCAAGUGGGCCACUUUUGGUAAGCAGAACUGGCGCUGUGGGAUGAACCAAACGCUGAGUUAAAGCGCCUAAAUCGACGCUUAUGGGA
rnacentral:rRNA from 2 species